rfam:Lachnoclostridium sp. An118 An118_contig_2, whole genome shotgun sequence.
AGCAGAGUAGGAAGAUGUGCGUUAAGUGCCGGAUGGACGGGGAGUUGCCAGCCGGACGAAAAGCAAGAGUGCUUGCGGUGCAUAUUCCGCAUCCCGCUGCU